rnacentral:rRNA from 1 species
UACGUAGGGUGCGAGCGUUAAUCGGAAUUACUGGGCGUAAAGCGUGCGCAGGCGGUUUUGUAAGUCAGAUGUGAAAUCCCCGGGCUUAACCUGGGAAUGGCAUUUGGGACUGCAAGGCUCGAGUGCGGCAGAGGAGACUGGAAUUCCUGGUGUAGCAGUGAAAUGCGUAGAUAUCGGGAAGAACACCCGUGGCGAAGGCGGCUCUCUGGGACGGUACUGACGCUGAGACGCGAAAGCGUGGGGAGCGAACAGG